rnacentral:lncRNA from 1 species
UUAUAGUUAUCAUACAACAUUGCCUAUAUUCCCUGUUCUGUACAAUAUGUCCUUUUUAAAAACAUUUUUAUUGAAGUACAGUUGCUUUACAAUGUUGUGUUAUGUUAUGGAUACCAAGAGGGGAUAAGGAGUGGGAUAAAUUGGGAGACUGGGACUGACAUAUAUACACUGCUGUGUGUAAAAUGGUAACUAAUGAGAGCCUGCUGGAUGGCACAGGGUACUCUACUCGGUGCUCCGUGGUGACCUAAAUGGAAAAGGAAUUUUUCAAAGAGGGGAUAUAUAUAGUGUUUGUAUUUGAUUCACCAAAUCCAAACGAUGAUAGCCUCAAGGGUGAUACCUUUGUCUCCCAAUUCCAGUCCAGUUGCUAACCACCUCUCUGACAUGGAGCGGCUACUUGGGAGGAGAAUGCAGAGAAACCUAAGGAAGAUGUGUGAGACAUGGGCUCUGCUGGCAUCCAGAGAGUGAAGAAGCAGAAGCGUUGACUGCCUCCUUGUCAGAUGGGAUCUGGGGACCAGCCGCUAAGAGCUCUAAGGACAAAAAAGAGUCAGAAUGAUGGCUUAGUUGAUGGCAGAGUGGAAAGGACUCACAGGCCAGCCAGAAGCCCUGGAGCAAGGCAGACGUUCCCAGAAGGACUUGGCAGAAAGAGUCAGACUGAGAAGCUGGCUGGCUGGUAAUGCCAGGAAGGGGAAGAGAUGUGAGUGGAGCACAACCAUGUAGAGGAGAGGUCUGGGCAGCCUGAAAUCCAAGCUAGCUGCUGUGGAUGGUGGGCUCAUGGGAACAGAUUCCUGCAGAGUGCAGUUGAGAGGAGGGAUUUGGGAGGACAGACAGGAGCAGGAGCCCAGCACCCAAUCUGGAACAGAUGGAUAGAACAAACAUCCCUGAAAAGGGACCCAGAUUCAGGCUGCUAGGGACUUGAUCUCUAGGCAACAGACUAGGAUGAAGGAAAAGGUUUGUGUAGGCCCCACAGCAGGGCUGAUUUGAUGCCCUCCUCUAGAGAAGCCAGCUUGGGGCUCCUUAAACUCCCCCAGAUCCGAGAGAUACUAUGGGGUCUCAGCUGGGCUAAUUGGCAAAUCAUAGAAUUAGGUGUGCGGUUUCAAUAAGUUUAAGAUGUGGUUCCUGUCCUCAGGGGUUUAUAAUCUAUUUGGGAAGAUAAGGUCAGCACAUAUGAGACACAGAAAAG